rnacentral:SRP_RNA from 1 species
UCGUGCUAGGCGGGGCAUUGGCGGAGCCUUGAAACCCGCAAUCCGCCAUAGCGGGGCUGAAAUCCUCCCCGAGGUCGAAGCUCGUGGCCUCUGUCCCUGGCAGGGGGUGUUGAGAGCCGGGUCCCACGCGGCGGAUGCCUGUGAACCCCGUCAGGUCCGGAAGGAAGCAGCGGUAA